rnacentral:rRNA from 1 species
ACUCAAAGGAAUAGACGGGGGCCCGCACAAGCGGUGGAGCAUGUGGCUUAAUUCGAUGCAACGCGAAGAACCUUACCAGGCCUUGACAUGCACUUGACCGAAGCUGAAAGGUUUCUUUCCCGCAAGGGACAAGUGCACAGGUGCUGCAUGGCUGUCGUCAGCUCGUGUCGUGAGAUGUUGCGUUAAGUCGCGCAACGAGCGCAACCCCUGUCCUUAGUUGCCAUCAUUAAGUUGGGCACUCUAAGGAGACAAACCCUCUCUGAGGGUGGGAAGGUGGGGAUGACGUCAAGUCAGGAUGGCCCUUACGGCCUGGGCUGCACACGUGCUACAAUGCCCGAUACAGAGGGAAGCAAGACCGCGAGGUGGAGCAAAUCCUCAAAAUCGGGCCCAGUUCAGAUUGCAGUCUGCAAUUCGACUGCAUGAAGCCGGAAUCGCUAGUAAUGGCGUAUCAGCUACGACGCCGUGAAUACGUUCCCGGGCCUUGUACACACCGCCCGU